UAUUUAUUUAUUUAUUUAUAUAACAGAUACUUGGGGGAAAUUGGACUUCCAUGUCCCUAUACUUUCCAAAAUGACAUAAUGAGCAUCAAUGACAGGGUAACAUCACAGCCCUGAGCCAUCAGAACAAAUUGCCAUUGCAGCCCAGCUGCGCGCACACAGAGUCUCUCACUGAUGAAGCCAGGAUCAAGAAUGCAAACCAAUGCGCGGCAGCACUUAGCAUUCAGCCUGCAUCGCUCAGACUGAAACGCACUGUGCUAAUGAGGAAGAGAGCUGAAUGCCACGAAAUCCCCGCUGUACUGGUUCUAAAAACAGCUGGAUGCCCUGAAAGAUGAAGGUGGACACGGGAGGCAAACAGCCAGAAGGCUUCACCCACAGAUGACAGAUCUUUUCUAGCAUCGAAGAGGACUGAGCUUUUCCAGGGUCCCAUUCUAGCCUCUGGACCUGAGUCUUGGCAGCACUGACUGGUUACCUGCAAGCCACACAGUCAUCCCUUAACCUAUCACUGAAGUCAAAGAGAUGUGAUCUCCCGAUUGAUUGGCUUGGCCAGGUCACAUGCUCACCUCUGAGGUUGAAGUGAGGUGAGGUCUGCAGUUACUGUUUGAGAGAUUCCUGCAACAUUUCUGGAAGCCCCAGUGAGAUCUCCUUCUCCAUGGCCCCAUGGUAGAGACGGGCUGCUGCUCCCUGGUCUCUGAGAACACUAAAGUCUUCUGGAACUGAGAAGCACAAGGGGACUGCGGGACCAAGACCUGGAGUCUCUGGGAAACAUACAUCCUAAACAGGACUUCAGGGUCCUCUCCCAGUGGACAAGGGGACUGCGGGACCAAGACCUGGAGUCUCUGGGAAGCACACAUCCUAAACAGGACUUCAGGGUCCUCUCCCAGUGGACAAGGGGACUGCGGGACCAAGACCUGGAGUCUCUGGGAAGCACACAUCCUAAACAGGACUUCGGGGUCCUCUCCCAGUGGACAAGGGGACUGUGGGACCAAGACCUGGAGUCUCUGAGCGGAAGACCAGAUGAGACUGGGCUGGAUGUCCAGGCCAGGUAAAGACAAAAAAGGGAGAUAGGCAGGAAGAGCCAGCAAUGGCUAGAUCGCCUUGCAGGAUAUUAUAUCUGGAGCCUUGAAGGGAUACUCAGGUAGCACCGGUCCCCAAGGAAAAGGCCUUGAUGAGAUACUCAGGUGGAUUAGUCUUGGAAGAAAUAGACAGACUAAGCAUUUAAAAGGGGGAUGUAUAACUUCUAAGUGAAUGGUGAAUGACUGUGUAGGUGACUGUAAUGCUCCCGCAGCUCCGUGGCUACAGAAUUUGAUUGGGCCUCAACCUCAGAUCGGCUGAAGCCCUUUCAAAUGAACAGGCACUCCCACUCACAAUAGGAGGUGACCAAGUACAAGGUUAUACAUGUGGCUCUAAGGAAAGACCUCUGAAAUUGCCACAUGGUGUCUGGCCAGGCAGAUGCCUGCUUGAGGGAGAAGCUGGUCUCCACCUCACCCUAUUACUACACAGGGUUAGGCACACAUAAACUCCCCCAGUUUCCAGAUAGGGAAUUUUUCUCACCAUGGGAUUUGUAAAAUCCUGAUGUGAAACUCACACAAUCCUGCAAAGACCUUUGUGAUGGUUUGUAUAUCCUUGGACCAGGGAGUGGCACCAUCUGAAGGUGUGGCCUUGUUGGAAUAGGUGUGACCUGGUUGGAAUGGGUGUGUCACUGUGGGUGUGGGUAUAAGAUCCUCACCCUAGUUGCCUGGAAGUCAGUCUUCCACUAGCAGCCUUUGGAUGAAAACAUAGAACUCUCAGCUCCUCCUGCGCCAUGCCUGCCUGGAUGCUGCCAUGCUCCCACCUUGAUGAUAAUGGACUGAACCUCUGAACCUGUAAGCCAGCCCCAAUUAAAUGUUGUUUUUUAUAAGACUUGCCUUGGUCAUGGUGUCUGUUCACAGCAGUAAAACCUUAACUAAGACAACCUUUAAGCACAAAGACUCCAAGGAAGCACCCCCUUAGUGUCCCUGGAGGAUGAAAUCUUGCCCGUGGUGCUGUCUCCCUACCCUACUGGCUCCAGUUGUCAGCGCCACAUGGUGCCAAGGCAGCUGCAAGACUACCUGACCCUGUCCUUUCUACUGCCACUGAGGGAAAUGCCAGGCCCUCCCCUUAUCCAAGAAGGUGACAGCUAUGUUACCUGACCCUAAAUCUGGCCACAUAUUUGCCAGGAGGGAGAGCCCUUCCACGAUUGUGGAGAAACUAUAAAAGUGAUUUUUUUUUCCCUCACAGUCAGAUUUAAAGGUCAAGCUACUUCCCAAUGCAGGUAUGGAACUUUUACCAGUCCUAGUGACCUGAAAUGGAGCCCUAGUACCACAUGGUAGAAGGAAAGAAA
rnacentral:lncRNA from 1 species